rnacentral:rRNA from 1 species
UACGAAGGGGGCUAGCGUUGCUCGGAAUCACUGGGCGUAAAGGGUGCGUAGGCGGGUCUUUAAGUCAGGGGUGAAAUCCUGGAGCUCAACUCCAGAACUGCCUUUGAUACUGAAGAUCUUGAGUUCGGGAGAGGUGAGUGGAACUGCGAGUGUAGAGGUGAAAUUCGUAGAUAUCGCAAGAACACCAGUGGCGAAGGCGGCUCACUGGCCCGUAAUGACGCUGAG